GACACGAUGGCCGAGUGGUCUAAGGCGGUAGAUUUAAGUCCCGAAAAUCUCUACUACAGAAAUGUGCGUGGGUUCGAACCCCACUCGUGUCA